UCCCCAUUAGCUCAGUCGGUAGAGCGUUCGGCUUUUAGGGAUUCUUCCAGUUUCGCAAGAAACCGAAAUGUCCAGGGUUCGAGCCCCUGAUGAGGAG
rfam:Ascoidea rubescens DSM 1968 unplaced genomic scaffold ASCRTscaffold_6, whole genome shotgun sequence.